rnacentral:rRNA from 1 species
GAUGAACGCUGGCGGCGUGCCUAAUACAUGCAAGUCGAGCGAACAGAUGAGGAGCUUGCUCCUCUGACGUUAGCGGCGGACGGGUGAGUAACACGUGGAUAACCUACCUAUAAGACUGGGAUAACUUCGGGAAACCGGAGCUAAUACCGGAUAAUAUAUUGAACCGCAUGGUUCAAUAGUGAAAGACGGUUUUGCUGUCACUUAUAGAUGGAUCCGCGCCGCAUUAGCUAGUUGGUAAGGUAACGGCUUACCAAGGCAACGAUGCGUAGCCGACCUGAGAGGGGGAUCGGCCACACUGGAACUGAGACACGGUCCAGACUCCGACGGGAGGCAGCAGUAGGGAAUCUGCCGCAAGGGGCGAAAGCCUGACGGAGCAACGCCGCGUGAGUGAUGAAGGUCUUCGGAUCGUAAAACUCUGUUAUUAGGGAAGAACAAAUGUGUAAGUAACUAUGCACGUCUGGACGGUACCUAAGCAGAAGGCCACGGCUAACUACGU